AUUGAACGCUGGCGGCAUGCUUUACACAUGCAAGUCGAACGGCAGCGCGGGCUUCGGCCUGGCGGCGAGUGGCGAACGGGUGAGUAAUAUAUCGGAACGUACCCAGAAGUGGGGGAUAACGUAGCGAAAGUUACGCUAAUACCGCAUACGAUCUACGGAUGAAAGCAGGGGACCGCAAGGCCUUGUGCUUUUGGAGCGGCCGAUAUCUGAUUAGCUAGUUGGUGAGGUAAAAGCUCACCAAGGCGACGAUCAGUAGCUGGUCUGAGAGGACGACCAGCCACACUGGAACUGAGACACGGUCCAGACUCCUACGGGAGGCAGCAGUGGGGAAUUUUGGACAAUGGGGGCAACCCUGAUCCAGCAAUGCCGCGUGAGUGAAGAAGGCCUUCGGGUUGUAAAGCUCUUUUGUCAGGGAAGAAACGGGAGUGGCUAAUAUCCAUUCCUAAUGACGGUACCUGAAGAAUAAGCACCGGCUAACUACGUGCCAGCCGCCGCGGUAA
rnacentral:rRNA from 1 species